rnacentral:rRNA from 1 species
GACGAACGCUGGCGGCGUGCCUAAUACAUGCAAGUCGAACGCAGUGGGGACGGGUGAGUAACACGUGGGUAACCUCCCAUCAGAGGGGAUAAAACUUGGAAAAAGGUGCUAAACCGAUACUGAUGGAUGAACACGCGGUGCAUUCGCUAGUUGGUGGGGUAACGGCUACCCAAGGCGACGAUGCAUAGCCGACCUUAGAGGGUGAUCGGCCACACUGGAACUGAGACACGGCCCAGACUCCUACGGGAGGCAGCAGUGGGGAAUAUUGGGCAAUGGACGAAAGUCUGAUCGAGCAACGCCGCGUGAGUGAAGAAGGUUUUCGGAUCGUAAAACUCUGUUGUUAGAGAAGCGGUAUCUAACCAGAAAGCCACGGCUAACUACGUGCCAGCAGCCGCGGUAAUAC